rnacentral:misc_RNA from 1 species
GUAGGACUGAUUUCAUACAGAAAGUCUUCCUUCCUUCCUUCCUUCCCCCAAAGUUUUCCCCUUUCGUCGUUUUUUCAAAGCUUCAUCCAUGGCGUCGCGUCUCUUUCUCCUCCUUCUCUUCACAAUUUCCCUCUCAAUUUCCUCCUCUCAUGCUCGCCCCUGCAAAUCCCUCUUCCUUUCAUUUUCCCUUCAUCGUCACCCAACCCUCGAUUCCCGCGAUCCCUUUUCCCAGAUGGCCAUUAUCGUCGACAUCACUGAGUUCAAAUCCUCCUUCUCCUCUUCUUCCGAUCCCCUUUUCCCCUCCCUCACCGGCGACACCGACAUCCUCCGCUUCGAUCUCCCUCGUCCUAGGGCUGUUGCAGCAGCAACCCAAACCCACUCCCUUCAACACCUCCCUUACGACUUCACCUCUCUCCGUGAUCGCACCAAGGAUAUCCUCAGCGUUGUUGUUGCUCUGCUCUUCGGCGUUGGCUGUGGCGCUCUCACUGCUGCCACUAUGUAUUUGGCUUACUCAUUGUUCGCUGGCCAAUUUGGGCGUCGCUCCUCGGUGUAUGACGACUUUUUGGAGGAAGAUGAUUUCAGUGAUGAUAACAAGGAGAACAUUAAGAAGAUGGGUUACAUCAAGAUCCCUGACGACGCUGCCCCGGUUAAAUCAGUGGGUUAGACAACGUGCACGAUGUGCGCAGUGGAUAUUUUAACUGGAGGACUCCUACUUAACCGUUGACUUGUGUUGGACUUCAUCAACCCUUUCCUUUAUAUAUGUUCUCUUUUCAGUUUAACCUUUUUUAUUAAAUUCUUUUAAGCUAUUUACAG